UACGGAGGGGGCUAGCGUUGUUCGGAAUUACUGGGCGUAAAGCGCACGUAGGCGGCUUUGUAAGUUAGAGGUGAAAGCCCGGGGCUCAACUCCGGAAUUGCCUUUAAGACUGCAUCGCUAGAAUUGUGGAGAGGUAAGUGGAAUUCCGAGUGUAGAGGUGAAAUUCGUAGAUAUUCGGAAGAACACCAGUGGCGAAGGCGGCUCACUGGCCCGGUACUGGACGCUGA
rnacentral:rRNA from 1 species